CUCAGAGCACACACAUACAGUUCAAUUGCCAUGGAGCCAAAGUCUUUCCCAUUGUCUUUCAUUAUACGAAUGGGCUCCAUGGCAUAGCUAUCUGGGGUAUCACCGCUCAAACAGGGCAAGCACCAAAUGACACGGCUUUCAUAUCUUUGCAGGGGAAAAUCAAGCCUUUUAACAUGGGGCCAUAAUCCAAAGGCAACAGGCGAGCAUCCAGGCUUCUCC